UUUCUUCUCCUUAGACCAGAGGUUCUCAAUCCUGGCUGCACAUUGGUAUCACCCAGGUAGCUUUUAGGGAUAGGAAGUCAUCUUUGUAGCCUAACAGGAGCGGGGAUGGAGCUCAGCUGAGGUGGAUGGGUACUCUGUUGGAAUAUGCGGCCUUCAUAUACUAUACUACAGCUCACUCUGUCUAUUUGUGCCAGAGGGUGCCCUGUUUUUCGAGUAUUCCCCCAACCACCAAAGAAAAGUUAGCCAACAGUCAACUCUUCAGCCACAUUCAACUGCAAAGGAUACAGCAUGUGCAACAAGAAUAUCACAUUCAAAUGCAAGCAUGCAUCUGAUCAGCCU
rnacentral:lncRNA from 1 species